rnacentral:rRNA from 1 species
AUGGUCCAUGAUGAAAUAUCUUUUUUCAACCGUUCACCUUCACGACCAGAACCACGUCUAAUCGAUCCAGAUCGAGGUCAAGUCCUCGUCCUCGUCCCCUUCAUUGUGUGUAGUCGUGAAGGGGUUUGUGAAGAGAAGCACAUGAAGUGGAAGAUGGAAGAUAGAAGGAGGAGGCCACGGAGUAUAACACAUGUCAGCUGUCAAGCUAAAUUGGUCAUUCCAAGACAGGAGGAAACAGGUCGGUGGUUUGUCAAGGAUUUCAUCGAUGAACACAACCAUCCUCUAGCUCCUCGGGAUAUUCGUCUUUUGUGUUCACACAGACGAAUUAGCUAUUAGCAGAAAGCGGACAUUGCAGACAUGGAAAAAUCUGCGAUCCGUAAACACCAUAUUAUGGAUAUCUUGUGCAUGGAAUAUGAUGGAUAUGAUAAGGUUGAAUGCACGAGGAGGGACAUUUAUCAUUUUUGCCAUGCUAGUAAGCAGGAGUCAAUCGCUACUGGUGAUGCUCAAACGGUGAUCAGUCACAUGAUGGCGCGGCGAGAGCGAGAUCCAAAUUUUUUAUUCAAGUACUUGGUUGAUGAACAUGGCCAUCUGAAGGGACUAUUCCGGUCUGAUAGUCAAUCCCGACUUGACUAUGAGGCUUUCAGAGACAUUAUUGUUUUUGGUAGCACAUAGAGAACCAAUAAGUGCAAUCUGCCAUUUGUGCCAUUUGUCGGGUUGAAUCACUACCGCAUCACUAUUAUUUUUGGAUGUGGUAUCAUUUCUCAUGAAACAAGCCAGGCAUACGAGUGGAUGUUGCAGACCUUUUUUGGUGCCAUGGCACAAAAACAUCUGAUAUCUGUGAUCACAGACGGGGACUUUGCAAUGCAGAGAGCAAUCAGGAUGGUCUGGCCCGACUCAAACCAUAGGUUGUGUAUAUGGCACAUUCAAUAGAACAUUGUGCGUCAUCUAGAUGAUGAUGCGGUAAAGGAAUUCAGAUCUUUCAUAUAUGAUUCAUCUUCCAUUUAAGAGCAUGAGAGAAAAUGGAUACAAUUUUUACAACGGAUUAAUGUAACCAAUGAGGAGUCCUAGCUGCAUCAGAUGUAUCACAUGAGAAGGUUGUGGUGUGCUCCAUAUCUUGAGGGGCGUUGUUUCCUAGGAUUGAGAAGUAAUUAGCGGAGUGAGAGCUUGAACUCUGUGCUACAUUUUGUUAGAAAGCUUCUGCUUGGCGCCCAUUUUGAUACUAACAGUUUUCAUCACAUUAAUUUAUUCAAAUCAUAUCAGAGUGCAUGUAUGGUACCAAAUCCCUGUAUCAUGGAGUUAUUGGCAUUUUGGGGUUUUCUCGUGUCCGAUAGGCAGCACAUCGUUCCGAGGGCUACCAUGGACAGAAUGUUGAGGGUUCAGAUUUUUGGAGUAAAUUUAGAGGAAUUGAUUCCUAUAGGAAAAUAG